CAGCGAGACUCCAUCUCAAAAAAUAAAAUAAAAUAAAACUAAAAAUAAUAUGGAAAAGUAGGUCCAUUCUGUCUUCCCAGAAGUGUAAGCCCUGUGCUGUUGUUAUUUUUACAUGUCCUAAUUUCCUACUAGGCUCUUGAGUAAAUGUAGACUCAGAGAGGUUAAAUAAUUUGUUCAAUAUUAUACUGCCAGUGAUUCAGCAAGAACUGGAUACAAGGCAUUUGUCAAAAGCUCACCCUCUUUUUCAUGACCCUAUACUGCUAAAUAAAUGUUUACUGGAAGAAUGAACCAAUGAAAGCAAGUUCCCUUCCUUAGUCACAAUAGUUCUGUGAUUUUUGUUUUAAAACUCAGGAUAUAGUGAUGUAUUUCUCGUUUUUUAUCAUGAUCAAAAAUGCUUGAAGUCUAAGAGCUUAGAAACCACUAGUCAUUGCCAUUUAGGAAAUUUCCUAGAAUCCAACUGUGUGGUUUCUGCCAAUAAUUUAGGUUUUAUGAACACUGGUUGUACAGUAUCGGGCUCUGCUCACCUCUCAACCUGUAGACUGAGACUCACGUGAAGUUAUCAGGAGAACUAAAUAAAGAAAACUGCAGGGGACUGUAAGUGAAAAUAUGAGAGACAAACUAAUCCUCAACACUCUUUAAUAUAGGGCUUUCCAGAUGAAAGCAGUAACAAAUGCUGUAAGUGUGCAAGUUCCUGCGAUGGUUGAUCUUACGUGUCAAUCUGGCCAGGCUAUGGUGCCUAGUUGUGUAGUCAAACAGUAGUCUAGAUGUUGCUGUGAAGACUCUUUAAAAUGUGAUUAACAUUUAUAAUCACUGGACUUUUAGUAAAGCUCAUAAAUGUCCAUGGUGUGGUGAGCCUCAUCUAAUCAGUUGAAGGCCAUAAGAGCAAAAUCUGAUUCCUCAAAGAAGAAGGAAUUUUGCCUGAAUUUGCAGCCUGCAGGCCUACCCUGUGGAUUUAGGACAUGCCAGUCUCCACAGUACUGUGGUGUGUGUGUUGCCAUAUAUGUAUCUGUGUGUGUGUGUGUGUGUGCACAUCUGUAUGGAGAACCCUAAUACAGCACCUUACACAGCACACAGUACCUGGUCUGUAAGAACAAGACAAUAAAUUUUAGCUGAAUCUGCAUCAGCUUUCUGUUUAUACUGCUUUAGAAGUAUCCACUCAUUAUUUGAAGAAGUGUGUGUUAGAUGCUUGCCUUAGGCAGAACAUUAUAUGUUCUCCAAAGGUAUAAAAUUGUUUUCUUUCCUUAAGUAGUUUCCAACUUUUUGUUUCCAAGGCAACAAAAAACAUUGUCUCAUUCAGUUUUCUGUUGCUAUAAUGGAAUACCAGAGACUGGGUAAUUUACAAAGAAUAGAAGUUUACUGGCUCCAGGUUCUAGAGGCUGGGAACACCAAGGGCAUGGCAGCAGCAUCUGGUGGGGUUCUGUGCUACAUUACCCCAUGGUGGAAGGGCAGAGGGCAGAGGGCAGAAGAGGAAAGGCAGAAGAGAAAGACAGCAUGGGAGACAGCAAGAAAAUGGAGGCCAAAACUUAUCCUUUUAUCAGGAAUCCACUCCCACAAGAUUGCACAGAGUUCUUGAUAUUGAAGAGUGAACCAUGUUCAAGGAAGAAGAGAUCACCCCAUAAAACCCUUCCAGCUUGUGUUACAAUCAGAUGCCUCUAAGAUGGACAAAAAAGGCACACAGAGAUAUUCCCUACUCAGGCUCUGGUCAAAUCUCUCUCCACUUAAUGGAGCAUGGCUUUCAACUGCACCUGGAGCAUGUUUGUAAACAAUGCCAUCAGGAAUAAAAGUGUUUGAAGCUGAAGCUGGGUCUUCCAUCCAAAUGUGGAAAGCGUGCCAGAGGACUGUCUUUCCCAUUCCCGCCCCACCUGCACAGCCAUAGACAAAGCUCAGCUCCGGGAUAAGGAAUAAUGUCUACAGCUGCAGCUGCCAGAUCAAGCUGGAGUCCCUCCCUGAUCUGAUGCCAUAAAGUAGGAGCUCUCAGUCACCAUAGGAGGAAAUCACUACCUCAGGCUGCUCACUAGAACCUCUGGGAAGAAACAGAGCUCCCCACCAUAAGUCACGGCUUUGGGGUCAGAGUCUCUGGAUCCAAGCCUGGUUCUGCUACUUGAGCCUCUCUUGAGUCUCAAUUUCCUCCCUGAAUAUAGGGAUGAUAAUCCCUGUCCCAUGAGUUGCACUGGGGAAUAAAUGUGAUCAUCUAUACAGUGCACUCAACAGCGGGCAUGACCUGUGGGAAGGGUCCCAUUAGUGUCCACAUUGCCAGUUAUGCAGUGAAUAUCAUUCAUGUCUCAGCUUAUGUAUCAACCAACAGCAAUGCAGAGUUAUCCCUCCUGUAGUUAGUUGAAAGUAGCUGGUGCUGACUAUACUUCUAAGUUCUUACCAGUUGUCACUAGACCUUGUCAAAAUGGGAAAAGACAGACUUCUGAUAAACUCACUGUCAACUUAUAGGCAAUUUUAAUAGAAAAAAACAUAAUUCACUGCAGUUUUUAAAAAAAUCUACAAUGAGGUAUGAGCUAAAAGAGGAUUCCAUAGACUUGAGGUCAAAGUUCAUAGUGAAUCUCUUAAAACCUUACCUCCCUUUGCCUUUUUAGUAUUAUUAGUAUGUUACAUUAUAAUUCAUCCCCUGAUAGUGUUUUCAGGGCAUUGGAGUUUCUGAACACUUCAGAUUGUCUCCUAUGUCCUGCAAAGAUACCCCAUAAUGGUGUAGCUCUGUGAGAGUGAAGUGGUGGCUCUGCACCCUCAAGGUGCCUGGAGAGUCAGGUCCACUCAGUCAUGGUGUGCUGCCAGUUGCCAGACCUCUCUCUCUUCCUGCAUGCCAUGCAACUUUACAGACCAGGAAGGCACUCAAGGGCAGCACAGCCCUGGGGACACAUCCCGGUGCCUUAUGCUCUAAUGUUCAAGACCGCCUCAGCAUCUGCUUACUGUGCAGGAGCUAAGGGAGGCGAUCACCUCCACGGACCUAUCCUCAACAACAGCUCCUCUACACUAGAAGAUACUAGAAACAAAAGAGCUGUGCUCCUCUGGGCUGAGUUAGGAACUGGAACUGUCCAUCCCAGUGGAAGGAACUGGGUAAGCAUUUGCACUAGCAAUAAGCUCUCUGGCUUGUGGACCAUGAGCCACGGGGAUCCUUCAACACCAGUGGAGGUGAAGUGACUUUGAGUGCAUGGACUCCAUUCUCAGCAGGUUCACUUUUUAUGCUGUCAGAUCCGUAAACAAACGUUCGCCCCUUCCUGAAACAAAGCAGGAGAGGACAUUGCUGAUCUAUCAGGGCAUCCUGAUAACAUUCUGCCUCCACAACCAGCCAGUGGAGAAUGAUUAGAGAAACACGCUGGCUCUAAUCAGCUGGGGAUGUGAACACUGCUCAUUGCUUGAUUAUGUACUUUAAAUCAUGAAUACUCAGAACAAUCAUAAGAUAUAUAUACACUUAACAUAUACAUAUACCGCCUGUACACUCAACCAGAGGACAUACAUUGGUGGCUGCAGAACUCCGUUAUGAUAGCAUGGAGUUUCAUUUAGAUCAUUUCUUUUUUCACAUGACGCCUCCAAUUUACAUUUUAGUGUUGUUGGUGAUGGCUAUUGACUGAAUGUUUGCAUUCUCAUGAAAUUCAUAUGUUCAAAUCCUAAUCCUCCAUGUGAUGGUUUUAGAAGAUGGGCCUUUGGGGGGGUGAUUAAGUCAUCAGGGUGGAGAUCUCAUGAAUGGGAUUAAUGCCCUUGUGACAGAGACCAAGAGAGCUCUCUGGCUCUCUUUCCACCUCGUGAGGAUACAAUCAGAAGGCAACCAUCUGCAGCCGGAAGAGGGCCCUCACCGGAACCCAAGCCAGCUGGCCCCCGAUCGUGGCCUUCCAGCCUCCAGAACUGUGGGAAGUGGAUGUCUGUUGUUUGUGAGCCCCCCAGUCUACAGUGUUCUGUUACAGCAGCCCGAGCUGACUAAGACAGUGAUAUUACCAAUGAUGGCAAAACACCAAACAGUACAUGCUGAUCACUCAGAGUUCCUUCGUUGCCAGAUAUAGAAACGACUUUUCAAAUUCCAGCUAUAAUCCUCCCAAACCUCAACUGAGGAAAUGAAUCAUUAUCACCAACUGCAAACUCGCUGUUACCCUCCAGCAAUGACAAAGAGAGCCUUUCUCCUGUAGACCUCCCCCUAGGUGGGCCUGGGGCACACUUCCUUUCCUCCCAGCCGCCUGGGGACCUCGAAACUGCUUCUUCACUGACAGAAAUAGCAACAGACAAGCCUGGGAAGCUCCCCUAACCUCUUGCAAGGAGAAAUUAUUUUUCAUUUCCUUGAAGGUGUGGGCCCAGGCAGGCUGGCCGUACUCCCUCCCCACACAGCAAUCCCAGCACACCUAGGAGACAGGGUGGGGCAGAGAAAGAUGGGGGCUGCUAGGGCAGGAGGGCUGGCCCAGCCCCAGCAGGAUAACUGCCCUGGAGAGUACACACACCGUGGAGCCCAGUCCCACUCCCAGGAUCCAUCCUGACCAUGUCCAGUCAAGACUGACCAAGACUUCAUCCUCAGAGAGGAAGUCAUAAAGGAAUUCCUUGACAUGCUCCCCUUCUCUAAUCUGGUAUUAACAAAUGGUAUGACAGAAAAAUGAAAAAAGGAGGGAAGGGAGAAGUAAAUAAACUCCAGGUUUUGUGGACAUCAAAUUUUAAGAAAGCAAAUGAGAACUGAGUUCAGUAAUGAUCCCAGUCAUUCUUUAGCAAGGCAGGAGGAAGGAGUGAAAUAGCCUCCAUCUUCAAACAUCCCCAAUUCAAGGGACAAAAUUCCAUUGUACACUCCCUAACCAGUGAAUUCAGCUAUAGGCACUGCAGUCAUAUUGAUAGGUGAAGCCGGCUGGGCUUCUGAGUCAGUCGGGACUUGGAGAACUUUUCUGUCUAGCUAAAGGAUUGUAAAUG
rnacentral:lncRNA from 1 species